AGCAUUGACCUUUAAAUUCAGAAAACUAAGUUGUCAGUACUGUAAUUUUUUUCUGAAGAACAGGAAGGAAGAUGUUUGCAUUUAUAAGUUUCUGGUUUUACAAAUUGUCAUAACACAUUUCAACCAACAAUCUUAUCAGUAUCUCUCCAGCUUUUAUCUCCUUAAUCUAGUUCUGUAAUCUUGCAGUUGUUUAUCACAUUUCUGUUACAAGGCAAAUGAACAGAAAGGUACAGCCUGUUCUUGUGUCAUUGACAUUGCCUAGCUUAUUAUUCAAACAUGUGGAAGUGGAUACCAAAGAAAGGCACAGAGAACAGUACAACCCACAUAAAUCAAUCUCAGAUCACUUCCACAAAAGAGCAAUCUGGUCCAUUACCAACACCAAUCUGGAUGAACCACCUGCCAACCCCUGAGAUUCUUCCACCCAGAUGUGACAUAUUAGUAAUAAACACUCCCGGGUGUGGUGCAGGUUUCCGGCAGAGUGCUUUUGGGACAUACCUUGAUACUGGAACAUACUUCUAGUCAGGAAGUAAGCACCUCAGAAACAUCAGUCAUUUUCUACCAGACUGCAGCAGAAAAUCCCAGAAGACAGUCAGCUUCAGAUGUGUAAAUAAGAAGGAACAAUUUAAGCACCUAUAGCCCAAAGAAGGAUCUAAGGAAUAUAAAUUAACUCUUCUUAAAGCUACACAAGACAAAAGACUUGUGAAGCCGGAACAGACAAUCAUACCUAUCCCAUGACGUGUAGAAGAAGAAGAAGAAGCAGCGGCAUAGUUGGUAUUACUGGUAAAAUCAGUUGAUCAAUACAAGAUGGAUGUGAUUCCUUGAUAGUGCCAUGACCACCCUGAGGGUCCAGGGAAAACACAAAACAUGGUAGUUGCCCCGUCCACAAA